rnacentral:rRNA from 1 species
AUUGAACGCUGGCGGCAUGCUUUACACAUGCAAGUCGAACGGCAGCGCGCGCUUCGGCCUGGCGGCGAGUGGCGAACGGGUGAGUAAUGCAUCGGAACGUGCCCAGUAGUGGGGGAUAGCCCGGCGAAAGCCGGAUUAAUACCGCAUACGACCUGAGGGUGAAAGCGGGGGACCGAAAGGCCUCGCGCUAUUGGAGCGGCCGAUGUCGGAUUAGCUAGUUGGUGGGGUAAAGGCUUACCAAGGCGACGAUCCGUAGCUGGUCUGAGAGGACGACCAGCCACACUGGGACUGAGACACGGCCCAGACUCCUACGGGAGGCAGCAGUGGGGAAUUUUGGACAAUGGGGGCAACCCUGAUCCAGCCAUGCCGCGUGCGGGAAGAAGGCCUUCGGGUUGUAAACCGCUUUUGUUCGGGAAGAAAUCCUCUGGGCUAAUACCCCGGGGGGAUGACGGUACCGGAAGAAUAAGCACCGGCUAACUACGUG